rnacentral:misc_RNA from 1 species
CGCACAUUGCGCCUAUUGGUAUUCCAAUAGGCAUGCCUGUUCGAGCGUCAUCUAACCCCUCAAGCUUUGCUUGGUGUUGGGCAUUGUUCGCCUCGCGGACUUGCCUUGAAUAAAUUGGCAGCCAACCAUUAGGUGUUGGAGCGCAGCACAUUUUGCGUUCCGGGCUAUGGUAGUUGGCCUCCAAAAAGCUUAUUUCGACGUUUGACCUCGGAUCAGGUAGGGAUACCCGCUGAACUUAA